GCUUUUUUCACUUAGUAAUCUAGCCUGGAAAACACCCCAUAACAAUAGGUAAUAAAGGGUGAACAGAUUUUCAGCCACAUCAGAUGAGAGAUCUGAAGUCUACAUUAUGACCUGAGGACAGAACAAUGCCUUUCAGCCUUAUAAUCUUGAGGAUUGUUACCAAAUGACCGCUUGGAGUUUCUGUUCUUGGCAACACCAUGAUGCUACAGGAGACCGGAGUCCGAAGGUUGCCUGUUUUAUUUCAGGUCAGCUGAGCAAGAACCAACUUCCCUGCAGAGCUGGCUGCCCCACGCUGGAUGAAAACACUGGCUUCUCCCUGGCCCUAAAGCAG